rnacentral:lncRNA from 10 species
GGGCAGCUCUCCUGCCCUGCUCACUGUCUGACUAGCCACCCACUGUAACACCGGGUCGGUUUUGUAAACAUAUUAACUUGUUUCCGUGACUGCAAAUAUCCUGUGACUAAGAAUGCCUGAUUUCCUGGCAAUGCAGCCCAGCAGCUCUCAGCCUCAUCUGACCCAGCCCCUAUUCAAGAUGGAGACGCCCUGGUUCAGACGCCUCUGACAGAUGCUCCAAGAUGAUGUGAAGCAUCAACAUGUUCACCUCUGCUCUGGUUACAAGAGGGAUGCAGUGUUCCAGGUGUCACAUGGAGAUAGCCGGGCAUCUCAUGAAGACAGGGGCAUUUUUGUCCUUUGAUACUUUCUAUGAAUAAGGAAAAAAUUAUCUGAUAUCUCCCUUAAAACCUUUCUGGCAGGAUUGGGCCCCAUAGUGUGCCUUGCUGGAGGAGAGGCUGGAAGGGACAGUACCCGCCAUCUUUGUUCUCUCAGGUUGGAGACAGGCCCUGCUGGAGAAUGGGGAGGCACGAGGAAUAAAGAGGGUCUACUUCAGAGCAGCAGAAAAAAUGUUUCUUUCUGGAAAUAUACUGAAGAACAAAAUGUGAUAUGAAGACAUAUGGAAUAUAAAAACAAAGGGUGGACAGGCUGUGUAAAAAUGGAAUCUGUCACUCAUGUCUCCUAUUUGAUAAAUUGGAGUAUAUAUAAAUUUACUCAAUUUAAAUGCAAAUAUUUGAUUUUAGAAAGUCUCAUACUCUAUAUAUUAUAGGGCAGAAAAUUUUCAUAUCAUCGCACACUCUAUUAAAGAGGAUUUCAAACUAUUUUAAAACUGUUCAGCAGCCUUGUAAUAAAGUUAUCCUCUGAACCUCUUCACACACUUAUCAACCUUGACUUAUAUUACUCCAAAUAUUUCAGCCUGUUUCUUGAGGAUGCUUUACCUUGGGGUCUCUAAGUGUAAAGAUUUCCAGUUGUUUCCAGCACAUUCUGUCACCUUUGUUCAACUCUCCAACUUUACUUCAUUAAUGUAUAUGGAUAAUGUUCAGUUCCAUCACAUCUUAUGAAGAACUAAUGAAGCUCUUCCAGACUUAAUUUUAGGAUUCAGUGGCUGUCUGGAUUCCCUUGUAUCAGCAUUCACUUUCGUCAUCACUUGCCUUGGUAAUUUCUCCUUCUCACAACAGCAAAUUUCACGACUAACGAUGGCCCGAAGGCUCCUUCCCUCCACGGGAUUCUGCUCCAGCCACAGCAGAGACUAUUUUGCACACCUUCCAGACAUUGCUGCCCCAUUCCAGGUACCUCAAGGUCAAUAAACACAACAUGCAAAUCUCAUCUUAUACCCAUCAGGAGUAUAAACAAGACAGUUGAAUGCACACUGUUAUCAAACACUUUGUCUCUUACUGUUUUUUAAUUUUAUUUUUUUGCUGCUUUCAAUUGCUGUUUUAAGAACACAUUAUAUCUCCUUUAGGGAAUAAAUUCAACACAAUGAGAAAAUUAAGUACAUUUUCACGGUUUUAGGGUUUUGAAUUCUGUGUCAUAACAUAGAUUUGCUAUCUAAUCAAAGGAAGUAAUGAUGAUAACAUUAAUAGCAGCACCACUAACAACAAUAGUACUCACAGCACCACUGGUUGCAAAGAGUUUGGGAAAAACUUACAAGCCUCUUAAAACUGAGUUAGUGGAUUUUAGCUACUCACCAGCUUUUUACUUUUCUUAUAUUCUUAUAUGGGUGCUAACUCUUAAGGACAAUACUACUUAACAACUAGUUACAAAAAGUAAUGCCCUUCUCUUAGGGAAAAGGUGAUAACAACAUUUUUGUAAAGUAUCCUAAAUCCAAAGACUCUUUCUGUAACCUUCCUUUCCCCCUUAGUGUCUCAAUAUCAAGUUGCAAUAGAAGCUUGCUGUUAGUGGAUCUGCACUUUAAAAUGGUACUUAAUAUGAAUACAUAAUCAGAAGGGAUUUUUUUACUUGUUUUGUGAAAAUGAACUGCAAGUCAACUAAGAUAUUUAAAACAAGGAAAAAGAAAGUCUUCUUCUACAGUGCCUCCAGGGUGAGUCACAGACUUAAUCACCUGCUAUAUUUACCUCAUGAAAGAAUCAAUGCCACUGCUGCAAGUCUUUCAUGGUAAAGAUUUUGAAAGCCAAGAGCUAAAAAUCAAUCCUACUACAUAUGCAUCAUUCAUAUGUUCAAAACAGCUCUAUAAGAAAUCCUGUUGUGUAGUAAAUCCUAUUAAUUUCUCCAUGACAUUGAUACCAUAAAUUUACCUGCAACCUCAUUCUUACCUAUAUGCAUUUGUCAUUGUUAAAUGAAUACCCUUAAGAAACUUCAUAUUACCACAGAUACAAAAAGAGGGAUUUUUUAAAAAGUAUUCUGCAAUCUUAAUUCCCCAUGUUCAAAGGGCUCAACAUAAGCAAUUAUUGUGAAUCCUAAUUAAAUACUGCAAAACUCAUCCUCUUUGUCUACAUCAGUCUUCUCAUUACAAGAAGGGAAAAGAACUUGUUCUUGACUUUUCUGGCCUGUGUACUAUCACUCUUGAACAUAGGCAUGAUAUUGAAUCUUUCGGAAAGCACUGUGCUUCUAUGCAGUGAUAAGCCAUUAGGAUGUGGAGGGAAACAUUCAUUUUUCCAGAUAUUACUGCACAUUCAUGACAGAUUUUGAAUUCCCUCAGCAGAUACAAGUGCCCUUCUUGUCUCAUGGACUCAAUCAGGAGAUAUGAAGAUUGACAACUGAUUGGCAAAAGUGAAGUCACUGUGUGACCUGUCCUGAAAAGAUGGUGGCUGCAUCUAGAAACAGUGACGUGUUUGGGGAACAAUGGAGUAGAGUCAGAGACGCACCUACUAAGACAUUUUGGCUGCUGGGCACCUGAACAUGAGCAAUGUGAAGCUUCCGGUGCGUGUUUCCAUAGAGAGUUUUCUGAUAAUGUGUCAGUUAUUUUUAGCCACAAAACACUAUAAGACAACUGAGCAUGCUUUUCAGUGGCUAACAACUAUAAGCAUUAAUUUUGCUCAUGCACUAAGGGAUGACUGAGCCCUUCUGCUGGCCUGGGCCACGCCUAACUGAUUGCAGCUGGGCUAGCUCUUGCAUCAGCUGGUGGAUUGGCCUGGGGCAGGCUGGCCUGGGGUAGCUUUGGUUGGGAUGAUUUUUUUCUGCUCUGUGGUCUUUCAUCUUGUGAUAGGCUAGUCUCGGCUUUUCCUACAGUGGAGGCAGGGGUCUGAGGGAAGAAGUGGAAACACUUGAGGCCUGGGAGGCCUACUCUGAUAAUAAGCCAAGUCACCUCUGCUGCAUUCUAUUGGUUAGAGCAAGCCACAGCUCAGCCCAGACACAAGAGUUGGGCAACACCCUCUACUUCUUGAUGAGAGGAGCUAACAUGUAACUUUGCAAAUGGAAUAAAUAUAGAAAAAGGUGAAAAUUCAGGGCCAUUUUUGCAAUCAGUCCAUUACAGAUGGUUUAUUAUUGAGAAACAUCUAUACAUCCAUAUCCAUAUAAAAUUACAUAUCUGUAUCUAUUUUUGAUGUUAUAGUUGACCCCUGAUCCAGAGAAGAAAGGGAUAGAGUGUAAUAAUCUCUGCUUUCUGGUGGAUCUCCUGUUGUUGAGUAAAAGGGAAUAUGAUCAGGAAAUCACAAAUAUCAAAAGAAUGGAAUGGAUAACUGACAAAUGAUUUAUAUUCCAUAUGCGUAUGUCACAUUUAAUAAAACAAAAUUAUGGCUGAGCACAGUGGCUCACACCUAUAAUCUUAGCACUUUGGAGGCCGAGGAGGGCGGAUCACAAGGUCAAGUUUAAGACCAGCCUGAACGACAUGGUGAAACCCCGUCUCUACUAAAAAUACAAAAAUUAGCUGGGCAUGGUGGUGCAUACCUGUAAUCCUAGCUAUUCAGGAGGCUGAGGCAGGAGAAUCGCUUGAACCCAGGAGGCAGAGGUUGCAGUGAGCUAAGAUCGUGCCACUGCACUCCAGCCUGGGUGACAGAGUGAGACUCCAUCUCAAACAAACAAACAAACAAACACCCCACAAAACUACAUAAUAGGAAAAUGUACUUGAUAAUAUUAAACUUUUAAGCAGUCCUUUAGAAAUGGCUGAGAAAAGUGAUUAGGAAAAGGGUGAAAACCUCCAACACUUAGGGAAAAUCCUGUAGCUAUCAGCGGCAGAAAGCAAUCCUUAAUUUUCCGUAUGUCCCAGAGGGAAUGAGAAAGUCAACUGGACUGAGGCUGU